CUCCGGGAGGGGCCCCGCCUCUUAUCGCGAGACUACAGGCCGCUGUUCUCUGAUCGCUGCCUUCGAAAUCCUCGCAGAGGAGACGAUAUGAGAGACGGUGGGUGCUCCCCGAGUUUAGAUACUUGAAUAAACCAAAAAUAGUGCUGGUACGAGGAUUAUGUAGAUCUAAACCUCAGUCCCCUUCUGCGCGGUACUGGGAACAGCUCUCCCCGGGGCCUGGAGUAAAGGGAGCCAAAUGUAGCAGACUCCAGGCCGACCCACGGGUCGAGACCCAGUGAGGACUUGGGUAAGUGGUAAACUGAGGCUUCCUUGGCCAGCAAAAGCGGACAGCGACAAUGAGGGAAAGCAAAUGGGCGCUCAGAGACACUCUGGCCUUGGUUUCCAGGCUCUUGACCACUAGGUCGCCUUCCACGACAGGAAGAUUGGAGGAGGAAAGGGCCCUGCCAACCCUGAUUCACCCCGGGCCAGCCGCAUUACUAUUUCACGGACUCAUCUAAAUCCUGCCAGGGAAUGAGGGGUAACGAAAAAUACUCAUGUGCUGACAGAACUGAAAGUGUGGUGGAAAAAACAGUACACUUUGUUCUUGUAUGAUUCAGUAUACGUAACAACCAAGAUGUAAACUGAAGCCAGAGACUGAGACAGGAGGAAUGCAAGUUCACAGCCAGCCUAAGCAACUCAGUGAGACCCUGUCUCUAAAUAAAAUAUAAAAAAAAAAAGGACUGGGGGUGUGGCUCAAUAGUUAAGGGACCCUGAGUUCAAUCCCCAGUACCAAAGGGGGGGGUGUGGGAGACCUAAACCUAGAGACAUGUAAGAGCUAGAAAAGUAUGAAGGAGCAAUUAGUGAGAAAAAGAAACAGACCAAUUAUAAAACAUAUUCAUAAAGUUAUAACUUACUUUAAAUUACUUUUUCUAAAUGAGCAAAUAAUAUGGUUGAGCACUUCUCCCCUCCUCUGAUUGCUUUAACAGAUAAAUUGUGGAGUAUUGGCACUGUGACAUAGUUAGCAGGAAAACCAGUCCCCUUUCCUAGUCCUGCUUAAUUUACAUACUGUAAUAUUGUUGGUUGAACUUCAAAAGUCUUACUUUUUAAUUGAAAAUAAAAUCUGGUUUUUAUUUUAAUAGCUCUAUAACUAUUCCACAUACUGAUUUCUUUUGGGGGAAAUUCAUCUCAAUAAUACAUUAACUCCAAAUGUAAUCGGUUGUAGUUAGCAAAUAUAAAGUACCACCUUAAUGUUAAAUUAGCCAUACAUUUAACAAAUUGUGAAUUAAUAGUAUGCUAGUCACAUUUAAAACAUAUUAAAAUAAAUUUGGAGACUGGGCUAUAGCUCAGUAAGAGAACUUUCCUAGCAUUCAAGAGGACCUGAGUCCAAUCCCAAGCAAUGUAAAACAUUUUUUAACUAAUUCCAGAAGCAACAAAUUAAAAUUUAAUAUUAGGGGAAGUUCCAGCUGUUCUACACUAUACAAGUAAUCCAAAUUGCUUACCAAAUAUAAACUUACUUUCUGACCAUCCCUUAGCUAUUUUUGUAGUAAUCAGAUUUCUACUUGAAAAUAGAAUUAUAGGCAAAUUGUAAUUGAUUUUUUGCCCCCUCUAAAUGAUAUACAUAGAACAUUAGAACUGGAAACUAAGGAUUUUUAGGAUUCUGAAAAUUUUAGAUUUUGAGCAUAGGUCUACUUGGAGUAGACUUAUGAACAAGACUCCAAAUCUCAGACAUUAGAACAGUAUAACCAUAGUUUUACUAAAGUAAACCAGGCAGUUGAUGACUUUCACUUUUCCCACUGGUUCUUUUCCCCUUAACAUAGUCAAUGAUCUUCCCUGCUACCUUCUCCAGCUCACUGCCCACAUCUUCCCUUUUCUUGAGUUCCAGCCUUCUUUCUAUUGAUAUGCUGGAUUCCCUCCUCCUCAUGGACUUUUGCUGAAAGAUUCAUCCUAUCUGGAAUACUCUCUGCUGUUUUACUGUCCCCCACACCCACCCCAUCCCUCAGACACAGAUAAAUUUAUCCCACACAUCAACUUUGAUUCCUUACUAAAUGGGUUCUUGGUUUGAUACUCAAGGCCACCUAUACUUUUUUUUAAAUCACUUAACAGUUCAGUUGUUUAAUGUGUUUUCCCCAACACAUUGCAAGCCAAGACACUAGGAAAUCUGUUUUAUCAUUGUCUCCCAAGCACAAACUAGGCUAAAAUAUUUAAAAGCAAAAAUUGUUUCAUACUUAUGGUGCAAGCUACAUCAUACAAUAUAGUCUAUUCUUUGGAGCAUUUGUUUUCUGACUUCGUAAGUAUUUGAUAAACUUCUUAUUCCUAGGCUUUAUUAAAAGACUAAAGUUAAGCAGUAAAGGAAUAUUGACAGUUCACAGCUCAUACUGAAAUAUUUUAAUGUAAACAUUUCAAUUAACAAACACUAUAAAAAGUAGUACAAUCAAAAAUAGACUGGCAAAUGCAAAGUUUUUGGAAAAUAAAAGUUCUCACGGUCCAAUCUUCCAAGCGUCAAAACUGUGAAGUUUCUUUAAAAAUACUGGCAUUUAAUAAAUAAACUCUAACAAA